CCAAUAGCGUAUAUUAAAGUUGUUGCAGUUAAAAAGCUCGUAGUUGAAUUUCGAGACCGGUCUACUGGUCGUGCUUUUGUACGUACUGGUUUUAUUGGUUUCUCCUUUCUGACGAACUAUAAUGCCAUUAAUUUGGUGUUAUAGGGAAUCAGGACUGUUACUUUGAAAAAAUUAGAGUGUUUAAAGCAGGCUCACGCUUGAAUACAUUAGCAUGGAAUAACGGAAUAGGACGUUUGAUUUUAUUUUGUUGGUUUCUAGGAUCGACGUAAUGAUUAAUAGGGAUAGUUGGGGGCAUUAGUAUUCAAUUGUCAGAGGUGAAAUUCUUGGAUUUAUUGAAGACUAACUACUGCGAAAGCAUUUGCCAAGGAUGUUUUCAUUAAUCAAGAACGAAAGUUAGGGGAUCGAAGACGAUCAGAUACCGUCGUAGUCUUAACCAUAAACCAUGCCGACUAGGGAUCGGAUGAUGUUAAUUUUUUAAUGACUCAUUCGGCGCCUUACG
rnacentral:rRNA from 1 species